GUCUGUGGCCGUACCACCCUGAACACGCCUGAUCUCGUCUGACCUCAGAAGCUAAGCAGGGUCACGCCUGGUUAGUACUUGGAUGGGAGACUGAAUGUGGUCUGAAAUUCAUUAACU
rnacentral:rRNA from 1 species